GUGCCAGCAGCCGCGGUAAUACCGGCAGCCCGAGUGAUGGCCGAUCUUAUUGGGCCUAAAGCGUCCGUAGCUGGCUGCGCAAGUCCGUCGGGAAAUCCACUCGCUCAACGAGUGGCCGUCCGGUGGAAUCUCCACACCUUGGGACCGGAAGGCUCGAAGGGUACGGCCGGGGUAGGAGUGAAAUCCUGUAAUCCCGUCCGGACCACCGAUGGCGAAAGCACUCUGAGAAGACGGCUUCGACAGUGAGGGACGAAAGCUAGGGUCUCGAACCGGAUUAGAAACCCCGGUAGUCC
rnacentral:rRNA from 1 species